UGGAGAAUUAGAAGAAUUGGGUUACUCAACGGACUAUAUUAUAUUUUGCUUUUGGAAAAUUUGGAUUAAGCGAUCGAGGCAUCCAGUAGAUAGCGAUCAGGUCAAGCCUCCACUCCUUGUUUCGGAAGGCUCAUUACUUUUUGCAUGUACAGCUUCUGACUCUCUAGCGCUGCAGUAGUUCAGGCGUACACUUUUGUCGAUGUCCUAUUAGCGGUUUAAUGUAUUUUGGUUUAGUAACCGCUCAUGUCUAUAUCUUUUUGUUAGGCCUCGUUUUCUGAUUAACAAACAAACAUCAGAGGUAGUUAUAGUUUAACUACUUAAUAUGUAUAUUUUGUAAAUGCUUAAAAUGGUACUUGGAAAUAUAUAUGUGGUUGUAUAAAGUUUAUCGUGCAGGGUGGUUUGAGAUUUUACAGGUGUUGGUUAGU